rnacentral:rRNA from 1 species
UACAGCGGGGGCGAGCGUUGUUCGGACUUACUGGGCGUACAGGGCGCGUAGGCUGCCACCUAAGUCAGACGUGAAAUCCCUCGGCUCAACCGGGGAACUGCGUCUGAUACUGGAUGGCUUGAAUUUGGGAGAGGGAUGCGGAAUUCCAGGUGUAGCGGUGAAAUGCGUAGAUAUCUGGAGGAACACCGGUGGCGAAGGCGGCAUCCUGGACCGAGAUUGACGCUGAUGCGCGAAAGCUAGGGGAGCAAACGGG